GGGCGCCCCAUCGCCGGCGCCCCCCAUCGCCGACUCCUGCCCCUGCUCCUGGUGAAUGACCAGGAGCAUAUAGUGGUACAAUUACAACACAAAAUCAAAUAGGAAGCUACCUGCGAAAAGGAAUUUCUUGAGAAUGGGUGAUAAGGCGGAUUGGGGUGAUACUUUUUUAAGGCAUUUGAUUGAUGCUUGCAAAGAAGAGAUUGAAGCAGGGAAUAGGCCGAUGGGAAUUUUCACUACUACCGGUUGGAA